AAACUGGAAAUGUUUUGUUGAAAUAGGGAUGCUGUACACGUUUGCAUACAGAACGCCAAGCAGAAAACAUAUAGAAGACAAAAAAUGUGGAGCAUUGCUGUAGUGGUACUAGUGGUGACAGGUUCUGUCUCCUGCAACACCAGCUGUCCUGAUGGGAAAGUCUGCCCUGAUCCGUCCAGUGUGGGUCCAAUGGAACUGAUCUCCCCUCUCACUCCCCAGGUCCAGUCUGACAUCGUCCCGGUCCAGAGUGAUGAUACACCAGUAGACAGUUCUCCUUACCCCUACUGUGACUCCAGCUCUUACUGUCCCGCUGGAACCAAAUGCUGCCGUCACCCUGCAGGCUACUGGACCUGCUGCACAUAUUCCAAUGGUGUGUGCUGUCGGGAUGGGUUGCACUGCUGUCCCUCCGGUUAUAGAUGUGACAGCACUUCCUCCAGGUGUCUGAGAUCCGACGGCCUGAGUUACCCUUUUGUUGAGAAGCCGGACUCUCUGAUGAUCAAAGCCACCAAGAUCUCUGAUCAGGUCCAGUCUGACAUCGUCCCGGUCCAGAGUGAUGAUAAACCGGUAGACAGUUCUCCUUACCCCUACUGUGACUCCAGCUCUUACUGUCCCGCUGGAACCAAAUGCUGCCGUCACCCUGCAGGCUACUGGACCUGCUGCACAUAUUCCAAUGGUGUGUGCUGUCGGGAUGGGUUGCACUGCUGUCCCUCCGGUUAUAGAUGUGACAGCACUUCCUCCAGGUGUCUGAGAUCCGACGGCCUGAGUUACCCUUUUGUUGAGAAGCCGGACUCUCUGAUGAUCAAAGCCACCAAGAUCUCUGAUCAGGUCCAGUCUGACGUCGUCCCGGUCCAGAGUGAUGAUAAACCAGUAGACAGUUCUCCUUACCCCUACUGUGACUCCAGCUCUUACUGUCCCGCUGGAACCAAAUGCUGCCGUCACCCUGCAGGCUACUGGACCUGCUGCACAUAUUCCAAUGGUGUGUGCUGUCGGGAUGGGUUGCACUGCUGUCCCUCCGGUUAUAGAUGUGACAGCACUUCCUCCAGGUGUCUGAGAUCCGACGGCCUGAGUUACCCUUUUGGUCUGAAGCAGGGCUCUCCAAUGAUCAAAGCCACCAAGAUCUCCAAUUAGGCCAGCAAGGCUGAUGAACAGGUCCCAUUGAAACCACAUCACAGACAUUGACAGCGUCUUACAGUUGUGGUGAAUUCACUGUGACUGAAAAUUCAACUGGCCCCCAGAAACUGUCACAGCAAGGGAAACUUGGACCAGAACCAACAAAACAAGAUCAACCAGAUGUUUGAUUUGAAUUAUAAUGAACUGCUGAUAUUGGAUAAUAAAUAAAAUUAAAGCA